UGCGGAUUGGUGUAAUAGUAACAUAACUGGCUCAUGUCCAGUAGAUAGGAGUGCAAUUCUUUUGUCCGCAU
rfam:Triticum urartu cultivar G1812 contig727175, whole genome shotgun sequence.